AUGUACGGAGAGUACACAGAGAAUGGAGGAGCGGCCGUGAUCAGCUGGAUAAAGCACCCACUUGGACAGAAGCCUCAGCAUGUCACAAAGAUGGUGAACUAUGAUACAGAUGCUGUGUUUUUCAAUAAGUUUAAAAACAGUACACGUCUCAGUGCUAAGACAGCAAAGGGAAGCUUUAACCUGACUGUCUCAAAUGUAGAGCCAUCAGAUUCAGCAACAUACUACUGCACUUUUAUUCACUUCUUCGGUGAAAUCAGCUUUGGAAAUGGAAGUACAUUAAUAGUUACGGGGCCAGAGUCCCAGAGCAGGACAGUAGUGCUGCAGCAGCCCGAGUCUGAGUCAGUGCAGCCUGGAGACUCUGUGACUCUGCAGUGUACAGUACACACUGAGACCUGUGCAGGAGAACACAGUGUGCACUGGUUCAGACCGGGCUCAGGAGAGUCCCCUCCAGGAAUCAUUCACACCCAUGGACACAGUGAUGAGUGCCAGAGGAGCUCUGGGACUGUGUCUCCCACACAGAGCUGUGUCUACAACUUCCCCAAGAGGAACCUCAGCCUCUCUGAUGCUGGGACUUACUACUGUGCUGUGGCCACUUGUGGGGAGAUCCUGUUUGGGAACGGGACCAAGCUGGACUUCAAGGCAUCAAGAUGA